rnacentral:rRNA from 1 species
AUUGAACGCUGGCGGCAUGCUUUACACAUGCAAGUCGAACGGUAACAGGCCUUCGGGUGCUGACGAGUGGCGAACGGGUGAGUAAUGCAUCGGAACGUACCCAGAGGUGGGGGAUAACGCAGCGAAAGCUGUGCUAAUACCGCAUGUGAUCUGAGGUUGAAAGCGGGGGACCGAGCAGCAAUGUUUGGCCUCGCGCCUUUGGAGCGGCCGAUGUCGGAUUAGCUAGUUGGUGGGGUAAAGGCCUACCAAGGCGACGAUCCGUAGCUGGUCUGAGAGGACGACCGGCCACACUGGGACUGAGACACGGCCCAGACUCCUACGGGAGGCAGCAGUGGGGAAUUUUGGACAAUGGGCGCAAGCCUGAUCCAGCAAUGCCGCGUGCGGGAAGAAGGCCUUCGGGUUGUAAACCGCUUUUGUCAGGAACGAAACGGUGUCCGCUAAUACCGGGCGCUAAUGACGGUACCUGAAGAAUAAGCACCGGCUAACUACGUG